CUUUAAGAAAUAUAUCUGCAAAACUAGUCUGGGUUCUAACUACAGAAUCAGACAUUGUAAUGGUCAUUUGGAACCUUGGGACCUUGGGGAAGAGAGUCCCACAGAUGGAGUGACACAACUGGAACUUACAUUAGCUGGCAUAGUACUUCCUGAAAUUCAAACAGCAUGG